rnacentral:lncRNA from 1 species
CUCGGGCCGCCGCGCCUAGGCCCGUGAGCAGCCUGUGGUGGGGCAUGGCGGCACAGCCACCGGCGUGCCCGCGAGGCCUCGGGACCCAGACCAGGAUUUCCAUCAGCUCCCCUGGCUCGCAGGCCUUCUGACUUCUGACUCACCAUCAGCUCUCCUGGAUCCAGCUUGCCAAUGGCAGAUCGUGGGACUCCUUGCCCUCUAAUCGCAUGAAACAAUGCCCACAAGAGAAAAUAAAAGCAGUCAGAGGAGAAUGGAGAAUUUCCCCUAUUCCCCAGCAUGUGGAGCCAUGGACUCUGCCUUCUCCCAGUCAAGAUGGGGCAGGUCUCACUAUGUUGCCCAUUCUGGUCUUGAACUCUUGGACUCAAGCAAUCCUCCCACCUCGGACUUCCAAAGUGCUGGAAUCACAGGCUUGAGAUACCAUGCCCAGCCAAUUUAUUGUGAUGGUGAGCUCCUUAGAGGGAAGUAUAGUACAUAUUUCCUCCAUGUCUCCAGUACCCAACACAGUGCCUGACGUUGAGAGGGCUCUUAAUAAGUGUUUGUGAAAGACUGGUAGAGCAAUGCCCUAUGAAACAAGAAGCUGGAUAACACUGCUUAGGACUCAGAGGAGAGAGGAGUGUGGUCUACACUGCACAUCUCUGCCAAGCCUGGCACGGGAUUUGAAGUUCCACACCACUGAGCCAAACACAUCCAGACCCUCUUCCAACCCGGGGAUCUGGUGGUAAGCAAAAUACUAUUCCAGCAAGUGAUGCCCCCAGUCUCCUAAGGAUAUAAGAAACAGGAAGUUGUGUUUGGCUGCGGACAAACUCUCUCAGUGCCCCUGGGACUUACAAGAUGUUUGGAAUGAGGAACGGCAGCUCUCCCAAUGCGAGCUCAGCGGAGGCCCCCAGAAAAACGUGGGGAGGAGAGUUUUCCCCAUAAGACAGACUGUCCUUCAGCCCCGGCCACCAAAGAGGAGUAACCCGGGCCUGCUGUUCUCUGGGACUGAAUGCGGCUGCAUCCUUCCCUUCCUCUGCUUCCUGUCCCGGUACUUACUGACGGUGCACAUGCGGGGCUUGGGGAAGCUGAGUGUCUAACCGCGGUGCAGCUACGGAUGGGAAAUUCUGGGCAGGGACGAGCCUGUCUUCACCUGAGGAAUUCCCUCCCACAUCACACAGGGCAGAGUGGGAGUGGAGGAGGGCAGAGGACACGUCUCAGGGCCAGUAACCUAGGCUUAUAGAAGACGUCAUCACCGUCCUCAUGAUGUUCACCCCGUCUCCUGUUUUUUGGGGCCAUGUGUUCCGAAAUGUAGCUUCAACUCAUCAUAGGGGCAAAAAGAAGUGAUGAGUCUGUGGCAGCAGAAAUCUGGGAAUCCAAGGGUCGUGCUACAUUUUUCGAGAAACCAUUUUGAAUUCCCAAACAGCAAAGGAAAUGCUGCAGGUUCCUGGAGGGACCUGGUGAUCUGGGGCAGAGCACACGGAGUCGAGAUUGCUGCGGGGUUCACGAGCCUCCCCUCCUGGGACCAGGGGCACCUGGGCAGGGUAGUCUGCACCACGCAGGAAAGCCCAGUACACGCAGCUGCUCAACGCUGCAGACGCCAUAGCGCAGGGCUGACAAGGCCUCCCUCUUUAUCUGCCCUGGACCACAAGUGGAAAAUAUCAAGACAAAGCAAAAGCCAGUAUCCCUUAAGAACUUUCCAAUUGUUCUUGUCAUUUGUAGUUUUGUUUUUUGGGGGGUGUGGGGAGGGAGGGGUGGUUUGAAACAACUCCGGAGCACACUCCAGAGGAAAACAGGAAGGGUGACAUGUUUGGACACCAGAAAAGAGGAAGAGUCCUCACUAAGAGGGUGACUUGGUUAAAAAGUUCAAGCACAAAGGAUGUAGAAGCAGGUGGAUGUCAUCAGAGAACAGAUGCGGAUCUAGUGAGAUGGGUCCUACCACCCCUGGAAUAUGUUCCUGGGAGAGGGGUGGUCUGCUAGAGUGGACUGGGAAUAGUAAUAUUGCAUACUUUUGUAAAUUCACAAAACCCUCUGAUCUGUGAUAGAGGAAUAAAGGGCAGAGGAUAAACCCCAGAUAAAGAUUCACUUAUCUUAAAAAUGAAAGGUUGGAAAUUAACUUUAUGCUACUGUACCACCUUCGAAGUAUUUCUGGCAGGUGCCUGGAGGAUUCAGAUUAAUGACCAAAUUACCUGCCAAGUCAGGGCCUCCCAUUAGAAGAGAGUACCAGUUUCCAUUAGGAGCACUAGCUGGAAAACACAAUCUUUCAGCAGAGGAAAUACAGUCUUCUCUCCUUCUCUGGGUGCACAGAGUGGUCGUGGUUGGCUGGGGCAGAUAAUGGUGUGGUCUUCCUCUGCAGAUCUGGUUUCUGAGUCCCUGGGCUGCAGCUGUUGAAUUUCCAGACACAAACAAGUAUGCGUUCUGAGAGCCUCGCCGAGCCCACACAACCGGGAGAGCCAAGCUGGAUUCCAUUCUGCUUUGCACAUCAGCAGCUCUGCUGCCAGCUGAACUCCAGGGCAAAAGCUGUGCCUGGUAAUGAUGCAGGCAGCAGGGAUGGCACAGCUGGCCUGGCUUAGGCCGUUAAGGGGGACACGCUUGGCCUUAUUUGGGGGAGAGCGAGAAAUGGAAGGCGAUGAAGAGUUGCGGAAGCAUACAUCAGCCUCCACAAAACUGGUGCACAGCAGGGAAACAAUCUGGUUUUGCUAGUCAUCAACAACAUGCCUGUGUGUGUGCCUGUUUAUGCUUAGGUAAGCCCAGCCUCCCACUCGCUGAAAAGAGUAGGCAGACAAGAAGGAGUGACCAACUCUGAGUCAGCUGUCAUCGUGUAGAGAGCAGCUAAGGGGAACAGUGGGGCUGGAAUCUCAUGGCCUUGCCUAGUGCCCCUACAGCAUCCUCUCUGCCCAUGGUGCCAGAUAUCUGAAUGGGAGGACAAAGGGGGCACAGGUGGUGAAAAAAACCAAGAUGCACAUUUGGGUAUUUUCCUUCUUUUGCUAGAAUGUCAUUUCUUGAUGUCUGUUUCUUGUCACCCAUUUGUGAUCAGGGACUAAGUAAGUUCCCUCUGCACCAGACCAGGUGGAAGACUGAGCCAGAGUUCCUCUGAGCCACAGGAGAGAUGAGGAGCUAUGGAGCGGAGUAGGGGCUGAGGAUCUGGUGCCCCCAGCUAAACUAAAAGGAGGCAGGCAGCAUGUAAGAGGAUGAUGGGGUAGCUCACAGAGAGGAAGGGGAUAUUCUUUCUCAAGAAUGAUGAGCCCAAAGGCAUCGCAUAACAAUUGUGAUCUCCCAGCUGGACGUUUCCUGUAGCACAGGUGUUCACAGUGUGGCUCCCAAACCAGCAGCCUCCAUGUCAGUCACUGGGAACUUGUUAGAAAUGCAGAUUCUCAGGCCACCCCAACCAUUAGAUCAGAAACUCUGGGGAUGGGGCCCCACAAUCUGUGUUUUCUUUUCUUUCUUUCUUUCUUUUUUUUUUUUUUUGAGACAGGGUCUCACUGUGUCAUCCAGGCUGGAGUGCAGUGGCAUGAAAAUGGCUCACUGCAGCCUCAACCUCCUGGGCUCAAGUGACCCUCCCACCUCAGCCUCCUGAGUAGCUGGGACUACAGGCCUGUACCACCAUGACCGACUGAUUUCGUUUUUUAAUUUUUUAUAGAAACAGGGUCUCGCCAUAUUGUCAUGGCUGGUCUUGAACUCCUGGG